rnacentral:rRNA from 1 species
CACGUAGGGGCGAGCGUUGUCCGGAAUUACUGGGCGUAAAGGGCGCGUAGGUGGUCUGUUAAGUCUGGCGUUAAAGCCUGGGGCUCAACCCAGAUCAGCGUUGGAUACUGGCAGGCUAGACGGUUGGAGAGGCGAGUGGAAUUACCAGUGUAGCGGUGGAAUGCGUAGAUACUGGUAGGAACACCCAUUGCGAAGGCAGCUCGCUGGACAACACGUGACACUGAGGCGCGAAAGUGUGGGGAGCAAACCGGAUUAGAUACCCCGGUAGUCCCU